GCAUAUCAAUAAGCGGAGGAAAAGAAACCAACAGGGAUUGCCCUAGUAACGGCGAGUGAAGCGGCAACAGCUCAAAUUUGAAAUCUGGCCUCGGCCCGAGUUGUAAUUUGCAGAGGAAGCUUUAGGCGCGGCACCUUCUGAGUCCCCUGGAACGGGGCGCCAUAGAGGGUGAGAGCCCCGUAUAGUUGGAUGCCUAGCCUGUGUAAAGCUCCUUCGACGAGUCGAGUAGUUUGGGAAUGCUGCUCAAAAUGGGAGGUAAAUUUCUUCUAAAGCUAAAUACCGGCCAGAGACCGAUAGCGCACAAGUAGAGUGAUCGAAAGAUGAAAAGCACUUUGAAAAGAGGGUUAAAUAGCACGUGAAAUUGUUGAAAGGGAAGCGCUUGUGACCAGACUUGCGCCGGGCUGAUCAUCCGGUGUUCUCACCGGUGCACUCUGCCCGGCUCAGGCCAGCAUCGGUUCUCGCGGGGGGAUAAAGGCCCAGGGAACGUAGCUCCUCCGGGAGUGUUAUAGCCCUGGGUGUAAUGCCCUCGCGGGGACCGAGGUUCGCGCAUCUGCAAGGAUGCUGGCGUAAUGGUCACCAGCGACCCGUCUUGAAACACGGACCAAGGAGUCAAGGUUUUGCGCGAGUGUUUGGGUGUAAAACCCGCACGCGUAAUGAAAGUGAACGUAGGUGAGAGCUUCGGCGCAUCAUCGACCGAUCCUGAUGUUUUCGGAUGGAUUUGAGUAGGAGCGUUAAGCCUUGGACCCGAAAGAUGGUGAACUAUGCUUGGAUAGGGUGAAGCCAGAGGAAACUCUGGUGGAGGCUCGCAGCGGUUCUGACGUGCAAAUCGAUCGUCAAAUCUGAGCAUGGGGGCGAAAGACUAAUCGAACCAUCUAGUAGCUGGUUACCGCCGAAGUU
rnacentral:rRNA from 1 species